rnacentral:lncRNA from 1 species
AAAAUAGACCGAAUAUCACCAAGUUCAAAGACUGAAUAAAUGAAUCAUACAGAAUAUUGUCAAAACCCCGUAUUUUUCUCACUAAAACAAAGUUAUGUACUUGCAUACAACCCUCUUUGAACUUGGACGGCACCUAGUGCUCAACUUGGACGAUGACCAAUGCUCAACUCGAACGGAGGAGCUUCCAUUGCAGUGGAGAAGACAUUGACAUGCACUGGAGCUUGGCGUGCUGGAGUGAUACACUUCACGCCUACCUAAUGUCACGGUACCCUGCACACACACCAGCCAACAAUUAACCAUGUGGACUAAAUUGGAGCUACAAUAUGAAUUGAACUGGAUGAAAUUUAGAAAUUGAACUAACAAAAGAAACUAGACACCACAUGUACAUCAAAUAAAAAAGUGGAGUAGUUAGUACCAACUACUAAACUAAUGUACUGGAUAUUGAACUUAUAGAUUGUAUGUUGGCGAACUUUUACACUUGCCGGGAGUAAUCAACAUGAACUUUUACACUUGACGGAAAGUUGUAAAAUAUCUGCAGAACUGAAGGAUAUGCUUUUUGUAUUAUCUCUGAUCACAAUGAACAAAGUAUUUAGAACUGACGCAUAUAUGAUACUAGAUCAAUACUAAAAUGGAUAAUAUUUGUUUAAGUUUCUAUGUAUGAACCUACCAAAUUUCUAAACAUGAACUUCUCGCUAGGGUUAUUCUUCGGUAUUGAAAACUGUUUUCUGCAUUAACAACAAGCACCUAAAGAGCAUCAUGUUUUCUACAAGUAUAUAUGAACUUUUGAGAGGACACUUUAUUUAUUUCACUGCAUUUUCUCCACAAUUGGAGCGACAAAUGCCAUCUGUUUUUUUUGUAAAAUGGAAGUACAAAAACAUUUGUAACAUGAAUUUUUGCUAAUGGACAUGUACUGAUAAAAUACCACAGUUAUUUGUUGUCAAACUGUACUUAGUUUGGACAAGCAGCUCAGCCACUUUUGGCACAUGUAUUAACAUAUCUAGUUGACAAGUGGUACCAAAUGUCUGAAACUAGAAAAAGUACAGAAGCUGAAUCAACACAGUACAACUCUUUGCCCCAUGCAGCAAAGUGUGAGAAGAGAUGUAAACUAAUGAAUUCUCACCCAGUUGCGGUUGUUUCUUUUUGGAAUCCAUUGAACUGAAAAAACCCGACAAUGUGUACUGAAAAACUAACUACAACGUGAAAUGAAAACAACAUACAAGUGUAGAUGGGGGCAUUGAUCUGGAGCUCGAUCCGGCACGGGGAGACGGCAGAGUUGCCGGCUGGGUUGCGGGGUGACUGAAACUAAUGAAGAUCCAAACUAGUAUAUUUAU